UUCACUCCUGUCACAGUCUUGUUGUCUCUGUACGUGUGAGUCUCUGUGAGUGCUGUGAGGUUUCUGACAGACUUUGUGUGAAUCAGGGUCUCAGGAAGACGGAACAUUGGGAACGUCAGGAUGUCUGUCUCAAGAGGAGUUAUCAGAACAGGCUUCACAGGCCCAGGAUCUUGAGAGACUGGCUCAGCUCUGCAUCAUGAGCAAAAGACCCCACCUUGCUUUAGAAUACAGUGGCAAGGCCACUAAAAUCCACCAGAGGGCUUUUGGUAACGAUCACCCCAUCACAGCCCGGAGUCUGGAGCUGCUGGCCACUGUCUAUGCUGAGAUCGGCAAAACAGAAUAUACAAAUUCAUUGGGAGAGUGUGUGUCAACUCUUUCCAAAAGGUUCUCAGCCACCGAGUCAUUCAGUGAUGCUCUGAGUAGCAUCUCUCAUAGCCAUAAAGACAGACACUCUGAGCUGCGACACAGAAAAGAGCCAUACAUACAACAGGAAACUCCUAAAUCGAAGGUCAUAAAUGAAAAACUGCCCACCUCUAUUCUGAAAAGGUCCAAUGUGAGCAAUGUGGAGUCAGACUCAUCGCGCAGGCGAAAAAGCGAGAGGCGGGUUCGCUUCAGACAGCCGGAGAUCACUGUUCAUGUCUACGACACCCCCCAGAGCCGUUUGCACCUGGCCCUGCUCACCUGCCUGUUUCUGCUUCUGUCUGCGCUGGGUCUAGCACUGUACUGCACGGACCGCCGAAGACCCCAGCGCGCCUGCGAAGAGCUGCAGACGGCACUGGCUGUGUACCUGCUUCAGUUCAAACAGAUCGUUUGGGCCUGCUGGAUCUGGCUGACCAUGCAAUGACCAUAACUGACCACAGGGGGCAGCAAUGGGCAGGAAAAAAAAAACAUAAAAGGUCAGGAUGUUUUUUGAAGGACUGUGGAGGAAAAAAAGAUAAAGGUCCUCUUGUUUUUUUUUUUUAUUGCUUUAUUUUCACUGUUAUAAUCAGACUGGCCACCAGUCGAAGC
rnacentral:lncRNA from 1 species